AGAGAGAGACAUGCGCGCAUAUCAAUAAGCGGAGGAAAAGAAACUAACAAGGAUUCCCCUAGUAACGGCGAGUGAAGCGGGAAGAGCUCAAAUUUGAAAUCUUAAAGGGUUUCCCUUCGACGAAUUGUAGUUUAAGAAGUGUUUUCUGUUGGAGUUUUGGUAAAAGUUCUUUGGAAUAGGACAUCAUAGAGGGUGAGAAUCCCGUAUUUGACCAUUAUUUCCAGCUUUGUGAUGCACUUUCAAAGAGUCGGAUUGUUUGGGAAUGCAGUCCAAAAUGGGUGGUAAAUUUCAUCUAAAGCUAAAUAUUGGCGAGAGACCGAUAGCGAACAAGUACCGUGAGGGAAAGAUGAAAAGAACUUUGAAAAGAGAGUUAAACAGUACGUGAAAUUGUCAAAAGGGAAGCGUUUGACACCAGUGUUGUUUUCUCGAAAAUCAAUUAAAAAAGGCAGGAUUUUGUGUUGUAUUGACUUUAUCAGCUUUCUGCACUCUUUUCUUGUCUUUUUUAAUGCACUUUUCGUUUAACAAGUCAACAUCAAUUUCUUUUGUUGUAAAAGGGUCAUUGGAAGGUGGCUUUCUUUUCGGAGAAAGUGUUUAUAGCCUUUGGCCUCUGCAAUCGGAGAGAUUGAGGUCUGCAGCGUAGAUCCUUCGGGGUUAGAUACAUUUGUGCUAAGUUAUAGCCUUUCAUAGACAACUUGUUGACUAUGAUCAGUCAUGUAGCUUACUCGCUUAUGCUAUUUUACCUACGCUUAGGAUGUUGAUGUGAUACUGCGAGC
rnacentral:rRNA from 1 species